GACGAACGCUGGCGGCGUGCCUAAUACAUGCAAGUUGAGCGAUGAAGAUUGGUGCUUGCACCAAUUUGAAGAGCAGCGAACGGGUGAGUAACGCGUGGGGAAUCUGCCUUUGAGCGGGGGACAACAUUUGGAAACGAAUGCUAAUACCGCAUAACAACUUUAAACAUAAGUUUUAAGUUUGAAAGAUGCAAUUGCAUCACUCAAAGAUGAUCCCGCGUUGUAUUAGCUAGUUGGUGAGGUAAAGGCUCACCAAGGCGAUGAUACAUAGCCGACCUGAGAGGGUGAUUGGCCACAUUGGGACUGGGACGCGGCCCGAAGUCCUUCUGGAGGCAGCAGUAGGGAAUCUUCGGAAAUGGACGACAGUCAGACCGAGCAACGCCGCGUGAGUGAAGAAGGUUUUCGGAUCGUAAAACACUGUUGGUAGAGAAGAACGUUGGUGAGAGUGGAAAGCUCAUCAAGUGACGGUAACUACCCAGAAAGGGACGGCUAACUACGUG
rnacentral:rRNA from 1 species